rnacentral:rRNA from 1 species
AGAGUUUGAUCCUGGCUCAGGAUGAACGCUAGCGACAGGCUUAACACAUGCAAGUCGAGGGGCAGCGGGGAAGUGCUUGCGCUUCCGCCGGCGACCGGCGCACGGGUGAGUAACACGUAUGGAACCUGCCCGCAGCAGGGGGAUAAUCGGAAGAAAUUCCGUCUAAUACCGCGUAACAACCCAUUGGGGCAUCCCAUUGGGUUUAAAGGUUUACCGGCUGCGGAUGGCCAUGCGGCGCAUUAGCUAGUUGGCGGGGCAACGGCCCACCAAGGCGACGAUGCGUAGGGGUUCUGAGAGGAAGGUCCCCCACACUGGUACUGAGACACGGACCAGACUCCUACGGGAGGCAGCAGUGAGGAAUAUUGGUCAAUGGCCGAAGGGCUGAACCAGCCAAGUCGCGUGAGGGAAGGCGGCCCUACGGGUUGUAAACCUCUUUUGCCGGGGAGCAAAGGCGGUCACUGGUGACCGGAUGAGAGUACCCGGAGAAAAAGCAUCGGCUAACUCCGUGCCAGCAGCCGCGGU